UACGUAGGGGGCAAGCGUUGUCCGGAAUCAUUGGGCGUAAAGAGCGUGUAGGCGGCUCGAUAAGUCUGCUGUGAAAGUCCAGGGCUCAACCCUGGAAGGCCGGUGGAAACUGUCGGGCUAGAGUCCGGAAGAGGCGAGUGGAAUUCUCGGUGUAGAGGUGAAAUGCGUAGAUAUCGAGAGGAACACCUGCGGCGAAGGCGGGUUGCUGGGCUGACACUGACGCUGAGGCGCGAAAGCUAGGGGAGCGAACGGG
rnacentral:rRNA from 1 species